rnacentral:rRNA from 1 species
GAUGAACGCUGGCGGCGUGCCUAAUACAUGCAAGUCGAGCGAACGGACGAGACGCUUGCUUCUCUGAUGUUAGCGGCGGACGGGUGAGUAACACGUGGAUAACCUACCUAUAAGACUGGGAUCACUUCGGGAAACCGGAGCUAAUACCGGAUAAUAUUUUGAACCGCAUGGUUCAAAAGUGAAAGACGGUCUUGCUGUCACUUAUAGAUGGAUCCGCGCUGCAUUAGCUAGUUGGUAAGGUAACGGCUUACCAAGGCAACGAUGCAUAGCCGACCUGAGAGGGUGAUCGGCCACACUGGAACUGAGACACGGUCCAGACGCCUACGGGAGGCAGCAGUAGGGAAUCUUCCGCAAUGGGCGAAAGACUGACGGAGCAACGCCGCGUGAGUGAUGAAGGUCUUCGGAUCGUAAAACUCUGUUAUUAGGGAAGAACAUAUGUGUAAGUAACUGUGCACAUCUUGACGGUACCUAAUCAGAAAGCCACGGCUAACUACGUG